UUCCGGUUGAUCCCGCCGGAGGUCACUGCUAUCGGGGUUCGAUUAAGCCAUGCGAGUCGAGAGGGUUCAGACCCUCGGCGGACUGCUCAGUAACACGUGGAUAAUCUGCCCUAUGGUGGAGGAUAACCCCGGGAAACUGGGGAUAAUACUCCAUAAGUCAGGAGUACUGGAAUGUCUCCUAACUGAAAGUUUCGGCGCCAUAGGAUGAAUCUGCGGCCGAUUAGGUAGUUGUUGGGGUAACGGCCCGACAAGCCCGUAAUCGGUACGGGUUGUGGGAGCAAGAGCCCGGAGAUGGAAUCUGAGACACGAUUCCAGGCCCUACGGGGCGCAGCAGGCGCGAAAACUUUACAAUGCAGGAAACUGUAAUAAGGGAACCCCGAGUGCCCGUACACGCGGACUGUCCCGGUGUUUAAAACACAUCGGAAGAAGGGCCGGGCAAGACCGGUGCCAGCCGCCGCGGUAAUACCGGCGGCUCGAGUGGUGACCACUUUUAUUGGGCUUAAAGCGUUCGUAGCUUGAUUUUUAAGUCUCUUGGGAAAUCUCACGGCUUAACUGUGAGGCGUCUAAGAGAUACUGGGAAUCUAGGGACCGGGAGAGGUAAGAGGUACUUCAGGGGUAGAAGUGAAAUUCUGUAAUCCUUGAGGGACCACCGAUGGCGAAGGCAUCUUACCAGAACGGCUUCGACAGUGAGGAACGAAAGCUGGGGGAGCGAACGGGAUUAGAUACCCCGGUAGUCCCAGCCGUAAACUAUGCGCGUUAGGUGUGCCUGUAACUACGAGUUACCGGGGUGCCGAAGUGAAAACGUGAAACGUGCCGCCUGGGAAGUACGGUCGCAAGGCUGAAACUUAAAGGAAUUGGCGGGGAGCACCACAACGGGUGGAGCCUGCGGUUUAAUUGGAUUCAACGCCGGG
rnacentral:rRNA from 1 species